rnacentral:rRNA from 1 species
AUACGGAGGGUGCAAGCGUUAAUCGGAAUUACUGGGCGUAAAGCGCUCGUAGGCGGCUUGUUAAGUCGGAUGUGAAAUCCCCGGGCUCAACCUGGGAACUGCAUUCGAUACUGGCAAGCUAGAGUAUAGUAGAGGCAAGUGGAAUUCCGGGUGUAGCGGUGAAAUGCGUAGAUAUCCGGAGGAACAUCAGUGGCGAAGGCGACUUGCUGGACUAAUACUGACGCUGAGGAGCGAAAGCGUGGGGAGCAAACGGGAUUAGAUACCCCGGUAGUCC